UACGGGGGGAGCAAGCGUUGUUCGGAUUUACUGGGCGUAAAGGGCGCGUAGGCGGCCACCGCAAGUCAAUUGUGAAAUCUCCGGGCUUAACUCGGAAAGGUCAACUGAUACUGCGGGGCUAGAGUGCGGAAGGGGCAACUGGAAUUCUCGGUGUAGCGGUGAAAUGCGUAGAUAUCGAGAGGAACACCGGUGGCGAAGGCGGCAUCCUGGACCGACACUGACACUGAGGAGCGAAAGCCAGGGGAGCAAACGGG
rnacentral:rRNA from 1 species